rnacentral:lncRNA from 1 species
CAGCUGCUCAGCUAAAAAAUGUUAAUUAAAAGAAGCAAAAGUGGAUAACGUGGUGCCAGUAAGAUGGUAUCAAUAUGAUCUAGUCUCAAUUAAGUUAGUCGCAGGUAAGUGUUAAAAAAAAGUUUUACCAUUUAUUUUUAGACUAAUUUUUUAAUGUAUUGUGCUUGAAGAACGAUGUUUAUUACAUAUUAAAUUAAAAUAUUUAUUUUCAGACAAAAAAUAAAACCUGUAAACAACUUCUCUCUAUAUUUACUUGUUCAGAUGCCAGUAAAACAAACGAUAGAAAAGAAGAAGCAUUCAAAAUGUUCGCAAAAUUUUUGGUUCGGAUACAAAAAACCAAGUGAAAAUGAUACUGGAAAGACUGUUUACCGUUUAAGUCCUGUCCCAAUCUAACCUAGUGGGUUUAAAAAGAAGGGGCCGCGCUGGAAACAGUGGAUUAAAAGGUUCAGCCCUUUUUGAAUUAAUAGUCGAAGUGUUAACCAGCUAGAAGUCGUAACCUGCUCGUAUAAAAGGAUUUCUCGACGUGAAAUUGUUAAUUUUAUUCAACAACGCCAAGAAACAGAGCUCGCUCAAGAAACAGAAAAGAAAGAGAAAGA